rnacentral:misc_RNA from 1 species
UACGAGGGCCUCGAGCGUUAUCCGGAUUUAUUGGGCGUAAAGGGUGCGUAGGAGGUUCGGUGCGUCCGCUGUGAAAUCACACCGCUCAACGGUGUGGCUCGCGGCAGAUACGGCCGAACUUGAGGGUGUCAGAGGCUACUGGAACACAUGGUGUAGGGGUGAAAUCCGUUGAUAUCAUGUGGAACACCGAAGGCGAAGGCAGGUAGCUGGGACAUUCCUGACUCUGAGGCACGAAAGCGUGGGUAGCGAAUGGG